AUUAAUGAAUAUAAUGAAGAUUUGAUGNAUUAAAUUCUGUCUUUAAAAUAUAAAAUAAAAUUAAUAAUUUAGUGAAAAAUCUUAAUUAUUUUUAAAAGACGAUAAGACCCUAUAGAACUUAUUUAACAUUUUAAAUUUGCUGGGGAAGCAAAAAUAAAAUUAAAGUUAUUUUUCAAUGUAAAAAUUUUAAAUUAUUAUAACCAC
rnacentral:rRNA from 1 species